GAUGAACGCUGGCGGCGUGCCUAAUACAUGCAAGUCGAACGGAAACACGAAGCACUUUCUUCCUUCGCUUUAGCGUCGGACGCGUGUGUAACAUGUGGGUAACCCACCUUUAAGACGGGGAUUACCUCCUGAAACCGGUAGUUAAUCCGGCUUAAUUAUUCAACCCCAUAGUUCAAUACUUAAGGACGGUUUUGCUGCCACUUAUCCAUGGUUCCCCGCCGCAUUAGCUGGUUGGUCAGGUAACGGCUUACCAAGGCAACGAUUCGUAGCCGACCUGAGAGGAUGAUCGGCCACACUGGAACUGAGACACGGUCCAGACUCCUACGGGAGGCAGCAGUAGGGAAUCUUGCGCAAUGGGCGAAAGCCUGACGGAGCAACGCCGCGUGAAUGAUGAAGGCCUUCGGAUCGUAAAGCUCUGUUAUUAGGGAGGAACGAAUGUGUAAGAAUAUAUGUACGUCUUGACGUUACCUACACAGAAAGCACCGGCUAACUACGUG
rnacentral:rRNA from 1 species